UUGCCCUGGGGUCCUUAUUCGGAAGCUGGAUGAUCUUGCACUUCUCUCUACACCAAUAGUUUGGUACUGAUUUUGGACCAUUUAUUUGGAUCUUGGUCGGGUAACUAUGUCCCAAUCUAAUGGGAAUCGCUCAGCUUUUGAUAGCUCUGCUUUGGGGGAAAUGAACGCAAUCCAACGGAUUGUGGGACAAAAUGUUGAAUCUAGGGCAGCAAUGGUGAAGCUGAUUGGUCAUGCGAGAAUCCAAUGGGUAAUGGAACACCAGCAAGCAACAACGCCUAUUUUGAAAUGGAGGAGGAGUUUGGAUUCUUCUGGCAGGAGUCAUCUUCAAAUGGGCUCUGUUACGAACAAGAAGCUCUGUACCCGGUCUAUUUGUAACGAAAUUCCAGAGGGCUAUGGCAUUAGCUGGGUUUUGUACACCUGGAGGCUGGAAUAUAAGUUCUUGACUCAAUAUAUUUUGGCAAACAGGGGCGGCGUCUCAUUUGGAUCGUGGACAACUAUCCUAUUAGCAACAACACAUUUACUUA